rnacentral:rRNA from 1 species
UAGGGAAUCUUCCGCAAUGGGCGAAAGCCUGACGGAGCAACGCCUCGUGAGUGAUGAAGGUCUUCGGAUCGUAAAACUCUGUUAUUAGGGAAGAACAAAUGUGUAAGUAACUAUGCACGUCUUGACGGUACCUAAUCAGAAAGCCACGGCUAACUACGUGCCAGCAGCCGCGGUAAUACGUAGGUGGCAAGCGUUAUCCGGAAUUAUUGGGCGUAAAGCGCGCGUAGGCGGUUUUUUAAGUCUGAUGUGAAAGCCCACGGCUCAACCGUGGAGGGUCAUUGGAAACUGGAAAACUUGAGUGCAGAAGAGGAAAGUGGAAUUCCAUGUGUAGCGGUGAAAUGCGCAGAGAUAAGGAGGAACACCAGUGGCGAAGGCGACUUUCUGGUCUGUAACUGAAGCUGAUGUGCGAAAGCGUGGGGAUCAAACAGG